GGGGAGGUAGCCCAGUGGUUAGGGUGCAGGACUGGUGGGCCUGAGGUUGACCCAGGUUCUGCCCCA
rnacentral:tRNA from 1 species